GGGGGCGACUAGGCUUCGACGUAGGUCGCGAAACUUCAGGUGCAUGCCGAGGAUGUCACUCACCUCGUAAAACAUGUGGCAAAAAAGAUAGUUGCCAACGACGACAACUACGCCCUCGCGGCCUAAAUAACCGCGAGCCGCUGACUGGCGAUUGCCUAUGGUUUCUUUUCAGCGGGCAUAUUACAUAGGAUAGCUUCGGGGACUGCCCGGAUCCCUGAGGCGAAACCCUAACGGGCUCGCUAGCUGCAUUCCCUGCCCGUCGGGAAGCGGUUGGUUAAAAAAGAAAGGCGCCGGCUAAGCAUGUAGAUCCCUGGAGCGGAGGUCUUGCGGACGCGGGUUCGAUUCCCGCCGCCUCCACCA
rnacentral:tmRNA from 1 species